rnacentral:rRNA from 1 species
UACGUAGGGGGCAAGCGUUGUUCGGAAUUACUGGGCGUAAAGGGCGCGUAGGCGGCACAGCAAGUCGGGAGUGAAAGCCCGGGGCUCAACCCCGGAAUGGCUUUCGAAACUGCUGAGCUAGAGUACAGAAGGGGCAACCGGAAUUCCCAGUGUAGCGGUGAAAUGCGUAGAUAUUGGGAAGAACACCAGUGGCGAAGGCGGCUCACUGGCCCGUAACUGACGCUGAGGCACGAAAGCGUGGGGAGCAAACAGG